CAAUCCAUAUCCACCUUGAUGUGCAAUGUCAUCUCACUGGGGUUACGUUUGUAAAAUUUCGUGAUCCGUUUGGGAUUAUAUCUACUCAGAACUUUAGUCAUUUUGUCUGAAACAUAUUAUGAAUAACUUAAUUCAAAAUACAACUUUCAACAACGGAUCUCUUGGCUCUCGCAUCGAUGAAGAACGCAGCGAAAUGCGAUACGUAAUGUGAAUUGCAGAAUUCAGUGAAUCAUCGAAUCUUUGAACGCAUAUUGCGCUCUCUGGUAUUCCGGAGAGCAUGCUUGUUUGAGUAUCAGUAAACACCUCAACUCCCUUUCUUCUUGAAAUGGAGCUGGACUUGAGUGAUCCCAACGCUUUAUUCAUAAAGUGGCGGGUUACUUGAAAUGCAGGUGCAGCUGGACUUUUCUCUGAGCUAUAAGCAUAUCUAUUUAGUCUGCCUCAAAAACAGAUUAUUACCUUUGCUGCAGCUAACAUAAAGGAGAUUAGUUCUUGUGCUGACUGAUGCAGGAUUCACAAAGACCGCUUCGCUGUCU
rnacentral:rRNA from 1 species